ACCUUUUGUAUAAUGGGUCAGCGACUUAUAUUCUGUAGCAAGGUUAACCGAAUAGGGGAGCCGAAGGGAAACCGAGUCUUAACUGGGCGUUAAGUUGCAGGGUAUAGACCCGAAACCCGGUGAUCUAGCCAUGGGCAGGUUGAAGGUUGGGUAACACUAACUGGAGGACCGAACCGACUAAUGUUGAAAAAUUAGCGGAUGACUUGUGGCUGGGGGUGAAAGGCCAAUCAAACCGGGAGAUAGCUGGUUCUCCCCGAAAGCUAUUUAGGUAGCGCCUCGUGAAUUCAUCUCCGGGGGUAGAGCACUGUUUCGGCAAGGGGGUCAUCCCGACUUACCAACCCGAUGCAAACUGCGAAUACCGGAGAAUGUUAUCACGGGAGACACACGGCGGGUGCUAACGUCCGUCGUGA
rnacentral:rRNA from 1 species